GGUCGGCGCCCCGGGCCGUCCGGCGGCAGCGGGUCGCUAGCGCGGUACCGGGGAGGGGGCGAAGGGAUCGGGCCGGGCCGCCGCCGGCAGCGGGUCGCGGCGGAACCACCCCGGAGCCGAAACCGCUUAACCUCAGGGGAAGCGGGUCGCCAAAGCGCGCCUCGCCGCAGAGCAGCGGCACCGUCGCCUCCCUCGACUCCCUGCUGCCUUUUUCUUUCGUUCUUUCUGUCUUUGCCUUUCUGUAUUUCUGUCUUUCGCUGUCCCUCUUUUUCUCGUUGCUUUCUCUUUGUCUUUUUCUUUCUUCCUUCCUUUCUUUGUUUCUUUUUUCUUUUCUUUUCCUUUCUUUCCUUUUUCWUUUUCUUUCCUUUUCCUUUUCCUUCUUUUCUUUCUCUUAUUCUUUCGCUCGUUCUUUCUUUCCUUUAUUAUUUAUUUAUUUAUUUAUUUUAUUUCUCUCUCUCUGUUUCUCUCUUUUUCUUUCUUUAUUUCUUCCUUUAAUUCUUUAUUUCAUUAUCUUUCUUUCUUGCUUGCUUAUUUGCUUGCUUUUUCUCUCUCCUUUUCUUUCUCUUUCUUACUUUUUCUGCCUUUUUCUGUCUUUCUUUCCUUCUUUUUUUUCUUUCUUUCCUUCUUGUUUUCUUUCUGUCUUUCUGUGUUCCUCGGUGAGACCUGGUCAACGGUAUAUUUGGGUUUUAGAUCUGUUAAACAGAUUUGUUAAUUUCAGCUCCUACAUUUCCAACGUCGAUUGCAAAAUAAUCAUAAUAAUCGUAGUAGUAGUAAUACUGAUGRUAAUGAUAAUAAUAAUAACAGUAAUAGUAACAAUCGAUAACUCUCCCAAAUUAAACGCUAGAAAAAUCCUCUUUUUUUGCGGGACCUGCGGGAACUGCAGGGUUUUUUUCACCUGCCGAGAACUGCCCCUUCUCCUCUUUUUCUCCUCUCUUAGAACGAAUCCGUAAAUGUCGGUGACUCCCGUUAGCUGAACGUUUACGAAUUAUUAUUAUUCCUGUCGCCGUCGCCGUUAUUGUUGCCAUUCUUAUUUCUGUCGUUAUUAUUUCGCANNNNN
rnacentral:lncRNA from 1 species